AACGAACGCUGGCGGCAUGCCUAAUACAUGCAAGUCGAACGAGAUCUUCGGAUCUAGUGGCGCACGGGUGCGUAACGCGUGGGAAUCUGCCCUUGGGUUCGGAAUAACUUCUGGAAACGGAAGCUAAUACCGGAUGAUGACGUAAGUCCAAAGAUUUAUCGCCCAAGGAUGAGCCCGCGUAGGAUUAGCUAGUUGGUGGGGUAAAGGCCCACCAAGGCGACGAUCCUUAGCUGGUCUGAGAGGAUGAUCAGCCACACUGGGACUGAGACACGGCCCAGACUCCUACGGGAGGCAGCAGUAGGGAAUAUUGGACGAUGGGGGAAGCCCUGAUCCAGCAAUGCCGCGUGAGUGAUGAAGGCCUUAGGGUUGUAAAGCUCUUUUACCCGAGAUGAUAAUGACAGUACCGGGAGAAUAAGCUCCGGCUAACUCCGUG
rnacentral:rRNA from 1 species